UUAAGGUAUGUGACUAUCAACCAUAGUCGUGGUAAGCUUCUGUUUUACUAGGAACCCAUCAGAGGAGUUCGUUGGUCCUUUGGCUUAACGGCGGACCAGGUUUCUCCAGCUUCGACGGCUUCGUUUACAAAAGCGGCUUUGGGAACUGCUGAAAUGGUUGCUGACUUGGUGCUGGGCAAUCCAAUCCUAGGAGAGUUGGUAGUGCACGUUUUGCUGUUGAAGGCCAAUGUUGGUGAUAAAACGAGAGCUAGGGCAGCUAUUAUAACCAGGUUUUGAACUGCAAGCCUGCAGAGCAUGAGUGCAUCUCAAUUGGAAUGGGACUACACUUGAUGAGGUAUUACUCUGAGUAAAAUGUACGCCAAACAAACAUUUGCUGAAAUGAACAAAACCAUUUGUACCGUGGUGAAGUACCUAUCAAAUAAAUAAAUAAAAUCAUCAUUGUGUGAAGCA